rnacentral:lncRNA from 1 species
AAAAGUACAACUACUUUUGAGUGUUCACAUGUUCGAUGCAAAUAGAGGCGUCCACAAUGUAUUGAAAAGAAAGCAACACAUCUUAAAGCUGUACCCAAGGAAGUUACAAAGCCAGAAUCAAAAGAGAUGUUGACCUCCACAAAAUACAAUUUCAGCAUUUAAAUUAUAUUAUCAGUGUUAAAUGCCGUCAGUUAAUUGAUGAAUGUGAUUUAU